rnacentral:rRNA from 1 species
CCUACGGGUGGCAGCAGUGAGGAAUAUUGGUCAAUGGGCGUAAGCCUGAACCAGCCAAGUCGCGUGAGGGAAGAAGGUUCUAUGGAUCGUAAACCUCUUUUAUAGGGGCGUAACGUGUGGCACGUGUCCUAUUAUGUAUGUACCCUAUGUAUAAGCAUGGGCUAACUGCGUGCCAGCAGCCGCGAUAAUUCGGAGGAUCCGAGGGGUAUCCGGAUUUAUUGGGUUUAAAGGGUGUGUAGGCGGGAUUUUAAGGCAGCGGUGAAAGUGUGUGGCUCAACCUGAGUCGUGCCGUUGAAACUGGGGGUCUUGAGUAUGUGUGAGGCAGGCGGAAUGCGUGGUGUAGCGGUGAAAUGCGUAGAUAUCACGCAGAACUCCGAUUGCGAAGGCAGUCUGC